GGAUUUUAUGAAGUGAAAUCGGUUCAGCCGUCUUCUCUACAAGGAUGGAAGAGACCCCGGUGGACUUUGCAACACAUAUAUGUUUAAGGUAUUGACAUUUAUUCAACUCAACCUUGACAUCUUUU